CCUGCAGAGGCAGCUGUCAACAUCUGGGCCUGCCACUGUGGCCAGAAGAGAGGAAGGCGCUUGGCCUGGGAUGACUGGCACCUGUAACA
rfam:Echinops telfairi cont1.553532, whole genome shotgun sequence.